rnacentral:rRNA from 1 species
CAGUCGCCGCGGGAAUACGUAGGUGGCAAGCGUUGUCCGGAAUUAUUGGGCGUAAAGGGCUCGCAGGCGGUUUCUUAAGUCUGAUGUGAAAGCCCCCGGCUCAACCGGGGAGGGUCAUUGGAAACUGGGAAACUUGAGUGCAGAAGAGGAGAGUGGAAUUCCACGUGUAGCGGUGAGAUGCGUAGAGAUGUGGAGGAACACCAGUGGCGAAGGCGACUCUCUGGUCUGUAACUGACGCUGAGGAGCGAAAGCGUGGGGAGCGAACAGGAUUAGAGACCCCUGUAGUCCCUGUCUCUUAUAC